rnacentral:rRNA from 1 species
AGUGAACGCUGGCGGUAGGCCUAACACAUGCAAGUCGAACGGCAGCACAGUAAGAGCUUGCUCUUACGGGUGGCGAGUGGCGGACGGGUGAGGAAUACAUCGGAAUCUACUUUUUCGUGGGGGAUAACGUAGGGAAACUUACGCUAAUACCGCAUACGACCUACGGGUGAAAGCAGGGGAUCUUCGGACCUUGCGCGAUUGAAUGAGCCGAUGUCGGAUUAGCUAGUUGGCGGGGUAAAGGCCCACCAAGGCGACGAUCCGUAGCUGGUCUGAGAGGAGGUUCAGCCACACUGGAACUGGGACACGGUCCAGACUCCUACGGGAGGCAGCAGUUGGGAAUAUGGGACAAUGGGCGCAAGCCUGAUCCAGCCAUACCGCGUGGGUGAAGAAGGCCUUCGGGUUGUAAAGCCCUUUUGUUGGGAAAGAAAAGCAGCAGGUUAAUACCCCGCUGUUCUGACGGUACCCAAAGAAUAAGCACCGGCUAACUUCGUG